rnacentral:rRNA from 1 species
AUCCUCAUAAGUUUGACAAUAAGAGAAACCAUAUAAAAUUAAAUUAUGCCAUAAUCUAAUUAAUUAUAUGGAAUAAUAAAAUCGGAGGCCACGACUGUUUACUAAAAACACAAUUCAGAGCAAUAAUUAAUAUAAUAGUAUUCUGGAUGAAAUUUGCCCAAUGCCAUUAAUAUAAGAGAGGUAAUAUUAAAGUUACUAAUCGAAAGUCUGGUUAAUAGCGGUCUUAACUAUGAGGAUCCUAAGGUAGCAAAAUAAAUUGGCCAUUAAAUGUGGUCUUGUAUCAAUAAUGUAACGAUGGUCUCACUGUCUCUACAACUUGCUCAGUGAAAUUGAAUUGCGAGUGCAGAUGCUC